rnacentral:misc_RNA from 1 species
GAUGAAGAACGUAGCGAAAUGCGAUACUUGGUGUGAAUUGCAGAAUCCCGUGAACCAUCGAGUCUUUGAACGCAAGUUGUGCCCGAAGCCACUAGGCCGAGGGCACGCCUGCCUGGGUGUCACACGUCGUUGCCCCCCCCCCAUCUACUCCUUCGGGAUUGCGGGGGGCGGAUGAUGGCCUCCCGUGCGCCUCGCCGCGCGGUUGGCAUAAAUGCCAAGUCCUCGGCGACGCACGCCACGACAAUCGGUGGUUGCGAAACCUCGGUUGCCCGUCGUGUGCGGUCGUCGCGCAUCGAGGGCUCGAAAAAAUUGCCGAGUUCCGGCUCGGCUUUCAACGCGACCCCAGGUCAGGCGGGGUUACCCGCUGAAUUUAAGCAUAUCAAUAAGCGGAGGA